GUCAGUGUGGCCGAGUGGUUAAGGCGUCUGACUCGAAAUCUGAUACGUUCGCGUCAUUCUGUCACUGACG
rnacentral:tRNA from 1 species